GUCUUUAAGAAAUUAAUUUAAAGUCAAAUCUGCCCAAUGAUUUUAAUAUUAAAUGGCUGCAGAAUUUUAUACUGUACAAAGGUAGCAUAAUAAUUUGUUUUUUAAUUAAAAACUAGAAUGAAAGAUUAAAUGAAAUAUAAACUGUUUCAAUUAAAUUUAUAUUAAAUUUAUUAUUUAAGUAAAAAAACUUAAAUAAAUUUUAAAGACAACAAGACCCUAUAGAAUUUUAUUUAAUAACUUUUAUUAAUAAAUUUUAUUAAAUUUUAUUGGGGAAAUAAAAAAAUUUAAUUAAUUUUUUUUUAAAAAACCAUAAUUAAAUGAAUAAAAAAUCUUAAUUUUUAAAUUAAAAAAAUUAAUUACCUUAGGGAUAACAGCAUAAUUUUUUUUAAAAGAUCAUAUUUAUAAAAAAGAUUAU
rnacentral:rRNA from 1 species